rnacentral:rRNA from 1 species
GACGAACGCUGGCGGCGUGCCUAAUACAUGCAAGUAGAACGCUGAGGGAGGAACUUGCUCUUCUGGAUGAGUUGCGCACGGGUGAGUAACGCGUAUGUAACCUGCCUGGUAGCGGGGGAUAACUCUUGGAAACGAUAGCUCAUACCGCAUAAGAGUAUAUGUUGCAUGACGUUUACUUAAAAGAUGCAAUUUCAUCACUACUAGAUGAUCCUGCGUUGUAUUAGCUAGUUGGUGGGGUAACGGCUUACCAAGGCGACGAUACAUAGCCGACCUGAGAGGGUGAUCGGCCACACUGGAACUGAGACACGGUCCAGACUCCUACGGGAGGCAGCAGUAGGGAAUCUUCGGCAAUGGGCGAAAGUCUGACCGAGCAACGCCGCGUGAGUGAAGAAGGUUUUCGGAUCGUAAAGCUCUGUUGUAAGAGAAGAACGAGUGUGAGAGUAGAAAGGCAAAACUGGAAGGGAAUUAUACAAGAAAGGAAGGGUAAAUUACGU